rnacentral:rRNA from 1 species
UACGGAGGAUGCAAGCGUUAUCCGGAAUCAUUGGGCGUAAAGCGUCCGUAGGUGGCGUUUCAAGUCUGCUGUCAAAGCACAAGGCUUAACCUUGUAAAGGCAGUGGAAACUGAAAGAGCUAGAGUGCGGUAGGGGUAGAGGGAAUUCCCAGUGUAGCGGUGAAAUGCGCAGAUAUCAGGAGGAACACCGGUGGCGAAGGCGGGUCUCUGGGCCGAUACUGACGCUGAGGAGCGAAAGCGUGGGGAGCGAACAGG